rnacentral:rRNA from 1 species
GUCUUAUUGAAAAAAUAGUAAUAAGUCGAUUUCUGCCCAUUGAAUAAAUAAUUUUUAAAGGCUGCGGUAUAUUAACUGUACAAAGGUAGCAAAAUAAAUAGUUUUUUAAUUGAAAACUAGAAUGAAAGAGUUAAUAAGAUAUAAAUUGUCUCAAUUUAAUUAUAUUGAAUUUAAAUUUAAAGUUAAAAUGCUUUAAUAUUUUUAUAAGACGAUAAGACCCUAAGAAUUUUAUUAUAAAAUUUUUAAUAAGUUUUUUAUAAAAAAAAUAUUAAAAAUUAAAUAAUUUUAUUGGGAGGAUAAUUAAAUUAAAGAACUUUAAUUAUUAAAAAAUAUUUUUAGAUAAAAUUUUAAUGAUUAUUUUAAAGAUUAUAAGAAUAAAUUACCUUAGGGAUAACAGCCGUAAUAAUUUUGGAGAGUUCAUAUUGAUAAAAUUGUUUGC